AUUGAACGCUGGCGGCAGGCCUAACACAUGCAAGUCGAACGAGUGGCGGACGGGUGAGUAAUGUCUGGGAAACUGCCUGAUGGCGGGGGAUAACUACUGGAAACGGUAGCUAAUACCGCAUACCAUCAGAUGUGCCCAGAUGGGAUUGGCUAGUAGGUGGGGUAAUGGCUCACCUAGGCGACGAUCCCUAGCUGGUCUGGGAGGAUGACCAGCCACACUGGAACGGAGCCACGGUCCAGCAGCCUACGGGAGGCAGCAGUGGGGAAGAUUGCACAAUGGGCGCAAGCCUGAUGCAGCCAUGCCGCGUGUGUGAAGAAGGCCUUCGGGUUGUAAAGCACUUUCAGCGGGGAGGCGUUACCCGCAGAAGAAGCACCGGCUAACUCCGUGCCAGCAGCCGCGGUAAUAC
rnacentral:rRNA from 1 species